GGUAGUAGUUCAGUGGUUAAAAUGUUGGACUACUGAUCAGAAGGUCAUGAAUUCAAAUCCUAACGCCGCCA